rnacentral:rRNA from 1 species
UACGGAGGGGGCUAGCGUUGUUCGGAAUUACUGGGCGUAAAGCGCACGUAGGCGGCUUUGUAAGUUAGAGGUGAAAGCCUGGAGCUCAACUCCAGAACUGCCUUUAAGACUGCAUCGCUUGAAUCCAGGAGAGGUGAGUGGAAUUCCGAGUGUAGAGGUGAAAUUCGUAGAUAUUCGGAAGAACACCAGUGGCGAAGGCGGCUCACUGGACUGGUAUUGACGCUGAGGUGGCGAAAGCGUGGGGAGCAAACAGG